AUGAAACAAAGACCCAUGCCAAAGCCUGUCAUGACAUUUCAGAUCGCUAGGAACCAAGAAGAUACUCUAAAAAUCCCCAGCAGUAAAGUCAAUGGUUGUCAAGAGAAGCACAAAAAGCAUCCCAUUAGAACGGCUUCAGUCUUUUCUCUCUCUGAUUUCCUCUCCAGGUUCUCCCAACAGGACGAUAAACUCAUCUGGAAGGCAGAGGGCCUGCCCAUUCAUAAACCUGUUGAUGUGGUCCCCAGAGUGCAACUCACUCUCGCAGAUGGAGCAGUCAUUUUGAGAGCAUGAAGGUGAAGAUACGUGAAAAAGCCAGAAGGACUCUGGUCUCUCAAGUGCUAAAAAGGAGGAGUUGAGAAGAACUGGACCAAACAGCAGGUUGAGAGUACCCACAUCUGCCAAAGGGGCAGGGGGCUCAGAUGAAAUGAACAAAGUCAUGGCCCUCACGGGGUUCAGCUUCAUUGGAAAGACAGACCAGAAACCAACUCAUGACCAUGGGGAGAGCACCAUGAGGGUAUGGACAUGCUGCACGGACCCUAAAGGAGCAUGUUCUGAACUUGACUUGAGCUGAGCUGAGCCGGGGCGAAGGGGAGGCAGCCAAGGCAGACAUCUGAGAGGAGGUGCUGGCCCUGCAGCCACCUUUUAAAAGACGGUGUAAAACAUGGCUGUCUGUGCGGCGUGUGGAAGCAGGAAAGCGGGUGAGGUCGUGUCCGGGGCCGGAGCACAGUGUGCCUCAAGAGAGAGACCAGACAUCCCGUAAGAGGCAGAGAAGGCCCAUCGCUUUAAAAGCCUCAAGCGCAAUGCCAAGGAAUUCUAUCUUUAUUCUAAAACGAAUGGGCAGUCAUUAAAGGAUACUAAGCAGAAAAAUGCAUUGACUAGACAUGCAUGUUGGAAAAUGUACUUUGAUCAAAUUUGGUGUUGUUUAUGGUCAUUUCUAUAAAGUAUUUGG
rnacentral:lncRNA from 1 species